rnacentral:rRNA from 1 species
UACGAAGGGGGCUAGCGUUGUUCGGAUUUACUGGGCGUAAAGCGCACGUAGGCGGAUCUUUAAGUCAGAGGUGAAAUCCCAAGGCUCAACCUUGGAACUGCCUUUGAUACUGGGGAUCUCGAGUCCGGGAGAGGUGAGUGGAACUGCGAGUGUAGAGGUGAAAUUCGUAGAUAUUCGCAAGAACACCAGUGGCGAAGGCGGCUCACUGGCCCGAUACUGACGCUGAGGCACGAAAGCGUGGGGAGCAAACAGG